GCUCCUAUCGUCUAGUGGUUAGGACAUCGGAUGCUAAUCCGAAAACAUUGGUUCGAUUCCAGUUAAGAGCU
rnacentral:tRNA from 1 species